rnacentral:rRNA from 1 species
GCAAGUCGAACGAGAAAGGGAUUGCUUGCAAUCCUGAGUAGAGUGGCGCACGGGUGAGUAACACGUAAAUAAUCUACCUUCAAGCCUGGAAUAACUAUUCGAAAGGAUAGCUAAUACCGGAUGAAGUUUAAAGACAUAAGUUUUUAAAUGAAAGAUUGCCUCUGAUUUAAGCAAUUGUUUGGAGAUGAGUUUGCGGACCAUUAGCUUGUUGGUGGGGUAAAGGCCUACCAAGGCUGCGAUGGUUAGCUGGUCUGAGAGGAUGAUC